rnacentral:sRNA from 1 species
UCGUGCUGCCCUCUGUGGGCGUUUCCUCCCUAGACUUCGGGCCGCUCGCGAGAGCGGCCUUUUUCUUUGCGUGUA